GGAAUAUUGGACAAUGGGGGAAACCCUGAUCCAGCCAUGCCGCGUGUGUGAAGAAGGCCUUUUGGUUGUAAAGCACUUUAAGCAGUGAAGAAGACUCCGUGGUUAAUACCCACGGACGAUGACAUUAGCUGCAGAAUAAGCACCGGCUAACUCUGUGCCAGCAGCCGCGGUAAUACAGAGGGUGCAAGCGUUAAUCGGAAUUACUGGGCGUAAAGGGAGCGUAGGUGGCUCGAUAAGUCAGAUGUGAAAUCCCCGGGCUCAACCUGGGAACUGCAUCUGAUACUGUUGAGCUAGAGUAUGUGAGAGGAAGGUAGAAUUCCAGGUGUAGCGGUGAAAUGCGUAGAGAUCUGGAGGAAUACCGAUGGCGAAGGCAGCCUUCUGGCAUAAUACUGACACUGAGGCUCGAAAGCGUGGGUAGCAAACAGGAUUAGAUACCCGGG
rnacentral:rRNA from 1 species